rnacentral:rRNA from 1 species
CAGUCGCCACGGUAAUACGAAGGGGGCUAGCGUUGCUCGGAAUGACUGGGCGUAAAGGGCGCGUAGGCGGAUUGUUUAGUUAGGCGUGAAAUUCCUGGGCUUAACCUGGGGACUGCGCUUAAUACAGGCAGUCUAGAGUGAGGAAGAGGGUUGUGGAAUUCCCAGUGUAGAGGUGAAAUUCGUAGAUAUUGGGAAGAACACCGGUGGCGAAGGCGGCAACCUGGUCCUUGACUGACGCUGAGGCGCGAAAGCGUGGGGAGCAAACAGGAUUAGAUACCCCCGUAGUCCCUGUCUCUUAUAC